AUGCGGCGCUGGCAGCGAGCGGGGCUGGCGGCCCUGGCCGUGGUUCUGCUCGUGUCUGCAGGAAGAGCCCAGGUGCAGCGGGACUCAUUGCUAGAGACCACCGAGGGCAGUGAAAUCACCAUCAAGUGCUCAAAGACCAACAUACGACUAGGGGAUUUUAUCCAUUUCUACCGCCAGCUCCCGGACCACAGCCCCGAGCUCCGGGCACGCGCUGCUAAAGGGUCCAGAGAGCUGCGGGCUUCAGCGGGGCGGCUGUCGGUGUCGGCAGAUCGUCGUUGGACCGUCCUCUGGCUCUCCGGGCCCCGUCAUGGGGACGCGGCGUUGUAUUCCUGCGCCCUGGCGGACACGGACUCAUUGGCACCGUCGUCUUUGGAGAUUUCAGGGGAUUUGCGUAGAAAUACAAAACUCGGUUAAUUGUUUCUACAGAG